rnacentral:rRNA from 1 species
UACGUAGGGGGCAAGCGUUGUCCGGGUUCAUUGGGCGUAAAGAGCGUGUAGGCGGCCAGGUAGGUCGGUUGUGAAAACUGGAGGCUCAACCUUCAGAGGUCGACCGAAACCAUCUGGCUAGAGUCCGGAAGAGGCGAGUGGAAUUCCUGGUGUAGCGGUGAAAUGCGCAGAUAUCAGGAGGAACACCAAUGGCGAAGGCAGCUCGCUGGGACGGUACUGACGCUGAGACGCGAAAGCGUGGGGAGCAAACAGG